CGGACGGGUGAGUAAUGCCUGGGAAAUUGCCCUGAUGUGGGGGAUAACCAUUGGAAACGAUGGCUAAUACCGCAUAAUAGCUUCGGCUCAAAGAGGGGGACCUUCGGGCCUCUCGCGUCAGGAUAUGCCCAGGUGGGAUUAGCUAGUUGGUGAGGUAAUGGCUCACCAAGGCGACGAUCCCUAGCUGGUCUGAGAGGAUGAUCAGCCACACUGGAACUGAGACACGGUCCAGACUCCUACGGGAGGCAGCAGUGGGGAAUAUUGCACAAUGGGCGCAAGCCUGAUGCAGCCAUGCCGCGUGUAUGAAGAAGGCCUUCGGGUUGUAAAGUACUUUCAGCAGUGAGGAAGGUGGUAGUGUUAAUAGCACUAUCAUUUGACGUUAGCUGCAGAAGAAGCACCGGCUAACUCCGUGCCAGCAGCCGCGGUAAUACGGAGGGUGCGAGCGUUAAUCGGAAUUACUGGGCGUAAAGCGCAUGCAGGUGGUUUGUUAAGUCAGAUGU
rnacentral:rRNA from 1 species